rnacentral:lncRNA from 1 species
GAUUCACCCUGGGUGGGUAACUGACUCAGAAGACGUUAUCAGAGCUCUUCUCCAAGACUUAUUCAACAGGAACCAGUGAAGAAGAUCAAUGUCUCUGACAAAAAAACUAUGUGUUGUAAGGCUCGGGGCUCCUCUCUGCCCAUUUUUCCCGCUGAAAGAGGGAAGCUGAUAUAAGAGUGCUGCUGUUCAGAAGUCUGAGCUGGAUGUGUAGUUGGUCAUCGUCAGCAUACAGAGGAUAACUGAAGCCACGUGUGGGAGGGAAGAUCACCAACUGGGACACAGAUGCUGAAAAGAAGGCAGCCAAGAAUGAACUCUGAGAAAAGCCAACAUUUAAGGAGUGGAUACGAGAAGAGGCAUUGUGAGCUAGACUGAAAAGGAAUGGCCAGAGUUUUGCAAAUGUAAUCAGAAGUGCAUCAUGAAAACCAACAAAGGGAGCAGUUUCAACAAAUAGGGAUGAUCAGCAACAACCUAAAAUAUUACAGAGAGAUCUAGCAAUACAAGUAUUUCAAAUUGUUCUUCAGAUGUAACAAUAUAUCCAAGUUACUGCACUUUCUUUAACCUUCUAAGAAAGAUGGCAUGUCGCAAGUUUCUUCGCACCGUGAUCUCGCUGACUUCAGGAGUGAACCUGCAGACCUUCGCAGUGAGUGUUACAGCUCUUACAUGCAACGCAUCUGCAGUUGCUCGUCCCUCCCAGCGGGUUCCUCGCUGGCCACAAGAGUGAAGCUACAAACUUUCGUGGUGAGUGUUACAGCUCAUAAAAGCUGUGCAAACCCAAAGAGCACGCACCAGCAAAAUUCAGCACAAAGAGGAAAAGAACAACACUUACACACCACAAAAAGGAACCCCAACCUGUUGCAGCCGCUGGCUCCGGCAGCCUGCUUUUAUUCCCUUAUUUGACCCCACCCACAUCCUAC